rnacentral:lncRNA from 1 species
UUCUAAGCUUCUAGUGUCAUUUCAAGGUGGUGGAAGGAAAGAAGAGGUCAUUUUGGAGGCUAGAAACUUGAGGAAAAGAGUAGAUCCAAGCUUUUCAGAGGUUGGAGAUUCUUCUUGAGGUAAAAAGCUCAAAACUUGCCUUGUUAUUUAUGUUGUGUGCUUCUUGAACCAAUUUCUAGGGGUUUUGGUCCCAAGAUGGAGACUUUAUGGGAAAAUGGUCUCCAUUGGCCUAGAUCUAUCAUAUUUCAGGACUAUAAGUGUUGUAUGUUCAUAAAAAUGCAAUCUUGGACGUAAAUAUUGAGCCAUGCAUGAGAUCUAGACCUUUGGAGGAGGAAGGAAAGAGGUUUGAGGGUGUAGGGACCUUUACAGCCAUGCAAAGGCUUAAAGGUUCCGACUUUAUGGAAUAAGANUAAGGAGAGUCAGAUCUGGAAGUUGAAGGAGUGUCUUAACCGUUUAAGACCAAAAUCCAUGGAAUGGCUGAAACUGAGACUUACGCUGGGCGUAACUCUCAGUACGCGCAGCGUAAGGGGUUGAGACCCCGAUUGUGGUUCGCCGGCGUACGCCCCGCGUACAGAGAAGGUACGCGCCGCGUACUGCCUUCUGUUGACUUUCGUUGACUUUUAGGGUUUUGGUCAACCUUUGGACUUUUGGUUCAGGGAGGGGUAAAAUGGUCUUUUACCCUUCUGUGGAAAUUAUAGAGUGGAUUUAAUCUAGCCUUUGAGAGCCAUUAUUUAUUAGAGAGUUUUGUUAUGUGUUUAGGCAAGAGCUAAACCAGUGUGAUCGAGUACGAGACUAACCGAGAUACCGAGGUGAGUCUUCUCACUAUACUGUACCUGGAAUGGUACCUAUGUGUGACCGGAAGGUCUUGUAUGCUAUGAGAUGUAUGUGUUAUAUGUUAUGUUAUAUGUAUGUGCUCUGUAUGUUAUGUAUGGUAUGGACCGAAAGGUCAAGAUGAUAAGGACCGGAAGGUCACGAGUACGGACCGGNNNNNNNNNNNNNNNNNNNNNNNNNNNNNNNNNNNNNNNAAAGUUAUGGCCUGGAAAGGCGUAUGUGUGGUAUGUGGUAUUUUGGGGAACUCACUAAGCAUUUAUGAUUACAGUGUUGUGGGAUGUGUUUCAGGUACUAGUGACGACCGCGGGAAGGCAACGGCAUGAUCAGUACACACACGAGGAGUUUUACAUGUUAUGAUCUUGGGAUGUAAUGUUAAGGGUUGUUAUGUGAUACAAUGAUAGUUUUAUAACUAUUGUGAAUAAAAGUAUAUUUUUAAAAUGUGAAAAAUUGUUUCGAAAAUUUAUGUCGUUACAAGUUGGUAUUAGAACCAGGUUUGAGGGAUUCGGGUGCAUCUUUGGAUGAAUCUAAACUCAAACUGAGGAUUUGAGAAAUUUUUCAUAAAAUAAACAAUUUUUCUAAAAGAGUAAAAGGUUUUGAGGAAGACAGAACGGAGCAGUGUGUGUACGAUCAAGCCAGCGCCCGAACGAUGGUUUCCCAAAAUACCCUUACACUAUGUGUUUUGAGAUAUGUUAUGAUAUGAUAUGCAUAUUAGAGUUGGCUAGGUAUUCAUAUUAGGACUAGAGUGGCCUGAUUUUGUGACGCCUUAGCCAAGGAAGGAUUUUUCUGCUAUGUGAUGCUUGAGAGCGAGUAGGUAGCAGUGAGGGGCUGAUAAGAGGUCUACCGAAGGGUAGCCUAUGCCAGUGAGAUAUAGAGUACUUGUGAUCUGGGAUCUAAGGAGGAGGACUUAGGGUGAAUACUGAUGCGGUGUAGACGGUAGUAUAAGGGCCCGUACUACUGAAGACACCGGAGCAGUACGCACUCUAAGUAAUAAUCCUUUGGGUACUAAGGAACAAGUAGGUCGAGUUAUUGAGUGCGAGCAUACUCGAGUGAGUCAUUGAUAUUAUUAUGUUAUAUUUCAUAGACAUCAUGGUUGGGACACGCCACAAACCUGAGGCGAGCGGUGUGAGUGACGAGGAGCUUCGUCAGAUGAUCCACGAUGAGGUGGCGGCGGCGAUCAGGGCCGAGAUUCCGAAGAUGUUUGGGUCUAUCAAGACCACACUGAUUGAGACUUUCGAUGAGCGGUACGCCGCGGUGACUGAGGCUGCUACUGUUGUAGCUACCGCAGUUGUGGCUGCUGCCAGGCCUCAGGGAGGUGACUCGUUGUUGUUUCGGGAGUUCAGCAACACGAAGCCACUCGAGUUUGAUGGGACGCAGGAUUCGAUCGCUAUGAUGAGAUGGAUUGCUGGUAUUGAGGGAUGCUUCUAUACGUGUUCAUGUCUGGAGCAUCUGAGGGUUCGGUUCGCGUUGAACCAGCUUCGCUUGGGAGCGAAGGACUGGUCGAAGUUCGUGACGGCAAGCUUCAUAGUUGCAAAGAUUUCAGAGGUGACCUGGGAGAGGUUCACCACCAUGUUCAGAGAUGAGUAUGUUCCCCCGGUAGAGAGGGAACGGUUGGUUCGGGAGUUCUUGACUCUCAAGUAGGGUACUGAUUCGGUUACUGUGAUUACCAGAAAGUUUCAUGAGAGGGCGAUGUUCUGCCCUGAGCAGGUGUCUACUGAGCAGGCACGUAUGAGCCGGUAUUUGGAUGUUAUGAGGAGAGACAUUUGGGAGUUCAUGUCGAACUCAACAUACCAGACAUUUGCUGAGCUCCAGGAAAAUGCCCGAAAGAAGGAGAUUAAGUUGGAGACUCAGGCAGGGAGGAGGCCGAGUCUCAGAGGAUGGAUCAGUGGCCGACACAGUCUCAACCGGCAGCCAAGCGGACCAAGUCCGCUGAUACGAGGUCUGGAGGCUAGAAGGGCCGCACUUGUGGGAAGUGCGACAAGGGACAUGAUGGGGUAUGUCGAUCGGGUGCUUGCUACAAAUGUGGCAAGGAGGGGUAUAUAGCUAAGGAUUGCCCCCAAGGGAUUUAUGGUUUGCUUUCAUUGCAACCAGACUGGCUAUCGGAAGGCCGAGUGCCCGCAGUUGCAUCAGGGGAUAGCACAGGGAUCUACGCCUGCUGCUAGGGUUACCGAGGUUCGGCCAGUGAAGGCCGAGGCACCGAAGGCUCGUGGGAGAGCUUUCCAGUUGACAGCAGAGGAGUUCGGCGCAGCGCCCGAUGUUGUGGUUGGUAUGUAUUCUUUAUUUAUUGUUGAGUUGAGAUAUUGUGCUUAUAUGAUGAUAUGCGUAGGUACUUUUCUUGUGAAUUAUGUACCUGCUUUGGUGUUAUUUGACUCGGGUGCGAGUCGGUCAUUUGUUUCCUUGGCAUUUAGUCAGCACAUUAGUAUCCGACGAGAGGCGUUAAGUCGACCUUUACGAGUUUCUAUAGCUAACAAGCGAGCGGUGUAUGCUAUGGAUGUGAUUCGAGGAUGUAUACUUGAGAUCUUCGGUGUGGAGUUCCCGAUAGAUCUGGUCCCGAUUGCGAUGGGGGACGUAUGUGUUAUAGUAGGCAUGGAUUGGUUGCGCCGAUUUGGAGUUGUUAUAGACUGUGAGCGUCAGUUGGUGACGAUACGAGACCCUAGUGGGGGAGUACUUACGGUGUACGGCGAGGGUACCCGAUGUGGGUCAGCAUUUUGUUUGGCUGCCAGGGCGAUACAGAGUUUGCAGCAGGCUUGCAGCGGGUUCGUAGCCUAUGUGAUGGACACGCGAGUGGCCGCUGGGAGGCCAAGUUCGAUUGAUGAGGUUCCGAUAGUGUGUGAGUUCCCGGAUGUUUUUCCCGGGGAAUUACCGGGUGUGCCUCCCGAGAGGCAAGUGGAGUUUCGUAUCAAUUUGGUUCUGGGAGCAGCACCUAUCGCCAAGGCGCCUUAUCGCCUUGCGCCGCCAGAGAUGCAUGAGUUAUCCUCGCAGCUUUAGGAGCUGCUGGGGAAGGGGUUUAUUCGACCGAGUAGCUCGCCAUGGGGAGCGCCGAUCCUUUUUUUCAAGAAAAAGGAUGGUUCACACCGGAUGUGUAUUGAUUAUCGGGAGUUGAACAAGUUGACGGUCACGAACCGUUAUCUGUUACCGAGGAUCGAAGAUCUGUUCGAUCAGUUGCAGGGGGCGCCUUGGUUCUCCAAGAUAGACUUGAGGUCGGGUUAUCAUCAGAUGGGGGUUCGGGAUGAAGAUAUCCAGAAGAUGGUGUUCAGAACUCGUUAUCGGCAUUACGAGUUCAUGGUGAUGCCUUUUGGGCUCACCAAUGCACCAACAACGUUCAUGGAUCUCAUGAACAGGGUGUGCAGGCCGAUGCUGGAUCGGUCGGUGAUCGUGUUCAUUAAUGAUAUUUUGGUGUAUUCGAGAUCUAGAGAACAACAUGAGGAGCAUUUGAGGGAGAUCCUUGGAGUUCUGAGAUUAGAGAGGCUUUAUGCCAAAUUCUCCAAGUGCGAGUUCUGGUUACGAGAGGACCUGUUCUUGGGGCAUCUCGUCAACCAAAAUGGGAUUUUUGUUGAUCCAGCCAAGAUUGAGGCGGUCAUGAGGUGGGAGGUGCCGAGAUCGCCCACCGAGAUCAGGAGCUUCCUAGGAUUGGUCGGCUAUUAUCAGAGAUUUUUCUAACAUCGUUGUGCCACUCACCAGGUUGACCCGGAAGGGUGUUGCUUUUUCAUGGGGUCCGGAGCAGCAGACCUCGUCUGAGACACUUCGCCAGAGAUUGUGCGAAGCCCCGGUGCUAGCCCUCCCGGAAGGGAUGGAGGAUUUUGUGGUGUACUGUGACGCAUCGAUAUCGGGGUUGGGCGCAAUACUUAUGAAGAGGGGGCAUGUGAUAGCAUAUGCGUCGAGGCAGCUGAAGCCUCAUGAGACGAGGUAUCCACCCACGAUUUGGAGUUAGGGGCUGUGGUGUUCUCCCUCAAGAUCUGGCGUCACUAUUUGUAUGGGGUUUGGUGUACCAUCUACACAGACCAUAAGAGUUUGAAGUAUUUGAUGGACCAGCCCAAUCUGAAUAUGCGCCAGAAGAUAUGGCUGGAUGUGGUAAAGGAUUAUGAUUGUGAGAUCCUGUACCACCCGGGCAAGGCUAAUGUCGUAGUUGAUGCCUUGAGCCGUAGGGCGGAGAGCGCCCCGAUUCGUGAUACUUGUAUGCGGUUGACAGUGAUGACUCCGGUGUUGGACACUAUUCGGGAGGCCCAAGCGGAGGCUGUGAGACGGGAGAACCGCAAGAGGGAGCGGGUGAUUGGGCAGGUGCCGGAAUUCAUUACCGAUAGUCGCGGGUUGAUGACCCUUCAGGGUCGGAUUUGGGUGUCGUAUGCAGGCGGAGCACGCACCACCUUGAUGGAGGAGGCGCAUAGAUCGAGAAUUUUUAUCCAUCUCGGGGCCACUAAGAUGUAUUUGGAUUUGAAAAAGGAGUAUUGGUGGCCAUGUAUGAAGAGGGAUGUAGCAUGGUUUGUUGAGAGGUGCUUAACCUGUCGCAGGGUUAAAGCCAAGCACCGGUGACCACAUGGCAUGUUGCAGCCACUGGAGGUUCCCCAAUGGAAGUGGGAACAGGUUUCUAUGGAUUUCAUCACCAAGUUUCCAAGAACCACGAGGGGUGUCGACGCAAUUUGGGUGAUCGUUGACCGACUGACGAAGAGCGCUCACUUUCUUGCUAUCAGUGAGAGCUCUUCUUCUGAGAGGCUCGCAGAUUUGUAUGUGAGAGAGGUGGUAUCACGGCAUGGGGUUCCGAUCUCAAUUGUAUCGAAUCGGGAUGUAUGUUUUACUUCCAGGUUCUGGAAGAAGUUCCACGAGGACUUGGGCACGAGGCUGCAUUUCAAUACCGCUUACCACCCACAGACGGACGGACAGAGUGAGAGGACGAUUCAGACGCUCGAAGACAUGCUUUGGGCAUGUGUGUUGGACUUCGGAGGGAGGUGGGACACGUAUCUGCCUUUGGCUGAGUUUUCCUAUAACAACAGCCACCAUUCGAGCAUUGGUAUGCCUCCCUUUGAGCUGUUGUAUGGGAGGAGGUGUCGGACUCCCAUUUGUUGGGGAGAGGUAGGGCAGAGAGUAAUGGGCAGCACUGAGAUAGUGCUUCAGAUGACAGAGCAGAUACAACAGGUUAGACAGAGAUUGUUGACGGCCCAGAGUCGUUAGAAGAGUUACGCGGAUAGGCGUCGAUCAGAGCUCAAGUUUCAGGUUGGGGAUUUUGUUCUUCUGAAAGUAUCCCCUUGGAAAGGAGUGAUUCGUUUCAGAAAGAGGGGCAAGCUGGGGCCCCGGUAUAUUGGGCAAUUUAGGGUGAUCGCGAGUAUGGGCACAGUAGCAUAUCGUUUGGAGCUACCUACGGAUUUGAGCUAGAUUCAUGAUACCUUCCACGUGUCUCAGCUGAGGAAGUGUAUAGUCGAUGAGUCGGCAGUGGUACCGUUGGAGGAUAUCCAGGUGGACGNUAUAUUGAAAGGCCGAUUGCAAUCUUGGAUCGGAAGAUCAAGGUUAUGAGGAACAAGGAAGUUCCCCUGGUUCAGGUCCAGUGGCAGCAUCGAAAGGGGUCCGAGCUGACUUGGGAGCCAGAGUCGUAGAUGCGGGAGCAACAUCCGGAGUGAUUUUCGGCAUGAGACUUCGAGGGCGAAGUCUGGUUCUAGUGGGGGAGAAUUGUAACAUCCCGAAAUUCAGGUAAAGCUAUUUAACCCUUCUCCUUUUCCCAAGUUGUCAAGUUAAGUCUUGUAAGUAUGUGUUGGGCUUGUGAGUACGCUGGACGUACUGAGGAGUACGCUACGCGGACUCACCUGGGUAUGCUGGGCAUACCCAGGUUACGCCGGGCGUAAUGUGUCCAGAUGUAAACCCUAAUUUGGGGCUUGAGCACUAUAAAAGGAAUGUUAUGGCUGCGACCUCAGCCUCCAUUCCAGAGAGAAUAACCCUAAUAGAGAGUCCCCUUUCGUUUUUAGCAAGAGUGUUGGUGUUCUAAGCUUCUAGUGUCAUUUCAAGGUGGUGGAAGGAAAGAAGAGGUCAUUUUGGAGGCUAGAAGCUUGUGGGAAAGAGUAGAUCUGAGCUUUUCAAAGGUUGGAGGUUCUUCCUAAGGUAAAAAGCUCAAACCUUGCCUUGUUAUUUGUGUUAUGUGCUUGUUGGACCAAUUUCUAGGGUUUUUGGUCCCAAGAUGGAGACUUUAUGAGCAAAUGGUCUCUAUUGGCCUAGAUCUAUCAUAUUUCUAGUCUAUAAGUGUUGUAUGCUCAUAAAAAUGCAAACUUGAAUGUAAAGAUGGAGCCAUGCAUGAGAUCUAGACCUUUAGAGGGAAAAAGGAAAGUGUUUUGAGGGGGUAGGGACCUUUACAGCCAUGAAAAGGCUUAAAGGUUCCGACUUUAUGGAAUAAGAGGUUGUAAGAGAGUCAGAUCUGGAAGUUGAAGGACUAUCUUAACCGUUUAAGACCAAAAUCUAAGAAAUGGAUGAACUGAGACUUACGCUAGGCGUAACUCCCAAUACGCACAGCGUAAGGGGUUGAAGCCCCGAUUGUGGUUCGCUGGCGUACGCCCCGCGUAC